UACGGAGGGGGCUAGCGUUGUUCGGAAUUACUGGGCGUAAAGGGUUCGUAGGUGGCCAACUAAGUCAGACGUGAAAUCCCUCAGCUUAACUGGGGAACUGCGUCUGAGACUGGAUGGCUUGAGUGCAGGAGAGGAACGCGGAAUUCCAGGUGUAGCGGUGAAAUGCGUAGAUAUCUGGAGGAACACCGGUGGCGAAGGCGGCGUUCUGGACUGCAACUGACACUGAGGAACGAAAGCCAGGGGAGCAAACGGG
rnacentral:rRNA from 1 species